rnacentral:rRNA from 1 species
AUUGAACGCUGGCGGCAGGCCUAACACAUGCAAGUCGAACGAGUGGCGGACGGGUGAGUAAUGUCUGGGAAACUGCCUGAUGGAGGGGGAUAACUACUGGAAACGGUAGCUAAUACCGCAUACCAUCAGAUGUGCCCAGAUGGGAUUAGCUAGUUGGUGGGGUACUGUCUCCCCAGGGUGACGAUCCCUAGCUGGUCUGAGAGGAUGACCAGCCACUCUGGAACGGAGACACGGACCAGACUCCUACGGGAGGCAGCAGUGGGGAAUAUUGCACAAUGGGCGCAAGCCUGAUGCAGCCAUGCCGCGUGUAUGAAGAAGGCCUUCGGGUUGUAAAGUACUUUCAGCGGGGAGGCGUUACCCGCAGAAGAAGCACCGGCUAAAUCCGUAACAGCAGCCGCGGUAAUUC